AUAUACGACAAUAACUGUCAAAAUCAUUGUCAUGCGUUUUGUUAUUCAAUAAUCAAAUUCUUGUGAAUCUACAUGAGUAUUUUAAAAAUAACCAUUCUCAUAACCCUCGUUCUUCUUGCAGUUAUUACUUACAGUCAUACAAUAACACAAACAAAUUCAGUACAACCUGUAAAUUUACAAAUCAAAUUAUCUAACAGCUAUUCGGACCUGGUGAAAAUGGGUAAAGAGAUGUUGUGGCCGACACCAAAACCCACUAUAUACACAAAUAUGGAAAAGAUAAUUACCUUAGCGCAAUUAUGUUUCGAUUAUUUACCAUGGUUACAAAAAGAAUAAACGAAAAAUGCUAAAUCGACUUAUUAUUUUAGUUCAAGAAAAAGUUGGUAAAAAUGUGAGAAAAGCCGCUGAAAAAUUAUUACCAACUGUGCAAGGAUACGCAGGUGCUGCUGCGCAAGUUGGAUUAGUACAUGCUGUAGUUCCUUAAAAUAUUCGUAUUAAAUUUCAACCCAUUAUUAUUAAUUUCAUCUAUUUCAACUUAUUUAUAUGCCAUAUUAUUGAAAAUAAGCUUUUUGUACCAUUGUAGUAUCAUUUAAAUAAAAAUUUAAUCGUAA